UAUAUUUUGGUGUAUGAUGCACAAAAGUUUUUGAUACUUUCAGAAAUAGUUUAAUUCUAUUAAAUAUAA
rnacentral:tRNA from 2 species